rnacentral:rRNA from 1 species
CCUACGGGAGGCAGCAGUGGGGAAUCUUGCACAAUGGACGAAAGUCUGAUGCAGCAACGCCGCGUGGGGGAUGAAGCUUCUCGGAGUGUAAACCCCUUUCGACCCGGAAGCGGUACGGGUAUAAGAAGCCCCGGCUAACUACGUGCCAGCAGCCGCGGUAAUACGUAGGGGGCCAGCGUUGCUCGGAAUUACUGGGCGUAAAGGGUCCGUAGGCGGUGUGGCAAGUCGGGAGUGAAAUCUCUGGGCUUAACCCAGAGGCUGCUUCCGAAACUGCUGUGCUAGAGUGUGAGAGAGGCGAGUGGAAUUGCGGGUGUAGCGGUGAAAUGCGUAGAUAUCCGCAGGAACAUCCGAGGCGAAAGCGGCUCGCUGGUCCAACUGACGCUGAGGGACGAAAGCUAGGGGAGCAAACAGGAUUAGAUACCCUUGUAGUC